GAGCCCAUAGCUCAGUAGGAUAGAGCGACUGCCUCCUAAGCAGUAGGUCGUGGGUUCGACUCCCACUGGACUCA
rnacentral:tRNA from 1 species